rnacentral:lncRNA from 1 species
GGUCCAGCCUCUUCAUAAGCCUGCACUAAAGACACUGAAGCUUGUGAUCACCCGUGUCAGGACAAGGAAUGGCAUCUCCCUAACAGGACUCAAGAGCCUUUGCCAUUAUCUGUGGUAUUAAGCAGGUUUCAAUUAGGAUUUUAGGUGGAUUUUUUUCUUUGUUCCGCAGAAGUUUUAAUCAAGGCAGAAAAACUCUGACGCCUCAUUCUCCUCACAACAGUCAGUCACCAAAGCGUUGCAUUUUUCUUCCUGAAGCUUCCCCUCCCUCGGGCACAUUUUUAGCAAAAAAGAUGAGAUCCCAAGCUCUCCAGAUGUUGCCUCUCAGAUGUGCCUCAGCACGCAUCUCAGAGCCAUCUGGCCGCAGCAACAGCUGGACUGCUUCCAAGUGGAAGUGCUCACAGUCCAGGUGUCUCAGGGUAAUGAUGGAUAACCGUAGGUCGAGAUGACCGUUCAGCAGAAGAGACUAGAGGACUUAGCUGACUUGCAGAAACUGCUCAUUGUGGACAGCACACCUCUGAGGGAGGCCGGGAACUUGGCAGCAG